UGGGGAAUUUGGACAAUGGGCGAAAGCCUGAUCCAGCAAUGCCGCGUGUGUGAAGAAGGCCUUCGGGUUGUAAAGCACUUUUGUCCGGGAAAGAAAUCCUUGGCUCUAAUACAGUCGGGGGAUGACGGUACCGGAAGAAUAAGCACCGGCUAACUACGUGCCAGCAGCCGCGGUAAUACGUAGGGUGCAAGCGUUAAUCGGAAUUACUGGGCGUAAAGCGUGCGCAGGCGGUUUGCUAAGACCGAUGUGAAAUCCCCGGGCUCAACCUGGGAACUGCAUUGGUGACUGGCAGGCUAGAGUAUGGCAGAGGGGGGUAGAAUUCCACGUGUAGCAGUGAAAUGCGUAGAGAUGUGGAGGAAUACCGAUGGCGAAGGCAGCCCCCUGGGCCAAUACUGACGCUCAUGCACGAAAGCGUGGGGAGCAAACAGGAUUAGAUACCCUGGUAGUCCACGCCCUAAACGAUGUCAACUAGUUGUUGGGAUUCAUUCCUUAGUAACGUAGCUAACGCGUGAAGUUGACCGCCUGGGGAGUACGGUCGCAAGAUUAAAACUCAAAUGAAUUGACGGGGUCAUAGCUGUUUCCU
rnacentral:rRNA from 1 species